rnacentral:tRNA from 1 species
GGGGCAUUAGCGCAGUUGGUAGCGCGCGACAUUCGCAUUGUCGAGGCCAGGGGUUCGAAUCCCCUAUGCUCCACCA